rnacentral:rRNA from 1 species
CCUACGGGAGGCAGCAGUGGGGAAUAUUGGACAAUGGGCGAAAGCCUGAUCCAGCCAUGCCGCGUGUGUGAAGAAGGCCUUCGGGUUGUAAAGCACUUUCAGUGGGGAAGAAAGCCUUGGGGCUAAUACCCUCGAGGAAGGACAUCACCCACAGAAGAAGCACCGGCUAACUCCGUGCCAGCAGCCGCGGUAAUACGGAGGGUGCGAGCGUUAAUCGGAAUUACUGGGCGUAAAGCGCGCGUAGGCGGUCUGAUAAGCCGGUUGUGAAAGCCCCGGGCUCAACCUGGGAACGGCAUCCGGAACUGUCAGGCUAGAGUGCAGGAGAGGAAGGUAGAAUUCCCGGUGUAGCGGUGAAAGGCGUAGAGAUCGGGAGGAAUACCAGUGGCGAAGGCGGCCUUCUGGACUGACACUGACGCUGAGGUGCGAAAGCGUGGGUAGCAAACAGGAUAGAUACCCCGGUAGUC